rnacentral:rRNA from 1 species
GACGAACCGUGCGAACGUUGUUCGGAUUCACUGGGCGUAAAGCGCACGUAGGCGGCUUUCUAAGUCAGGGGUGAAAUCCUGGAGCUCAACUCCAGAACUGCCUUUGAUACUGGAGAGCUUGAGUCCGGAAGAGGUGAGUGGAACUCCGAGUGUAGAGGUGAAAUUCGUAGAUAUUCGGAAGAACACCAGUGGCGAAGGCGGCUCACUGGUCCGGUACUGACGCUGAGGUGCGAAAGCGUGGGGAGCAAACAGG